UACAUGGGGUGCAAACGUUGCUCGGAAUUAUUGGGCGUAAAGCGCACGUAGGCGGAUUGUUAAGUCAGGGGUGAAAUCCUGGAGCUCAACUCCAGAACUGCCUUUGAUACUGGCGAUCUUGAGUCCGGGAGAGGUGAGUGGAACUGCGAGUGUAGAGGUGAAAUUCGUAGAUAUUCGCAAGAACACCAGUGGCGAAGGCGGCUCACUGGCCCGGUACUGACGCUGAGGUGCGAAAGCGUGGGGAGCAAACAGG
rnacentral:rRNA from 1 species